rnacentral:lncRNA from 1 species
UAUGUUAUUUACUAUUCGUGAGGUUAUUCUACAUUAAAUCAAAUUAUCUAACAUUAUAAAAAUUAUUGCAAAGCACUUUUGCUGAUAAUGGAAAUAACGGGCCUUGAUAUUAUAUUAAAAUGCAUGUUAACGUUCAAUAUUCCAUCAAAACAAAGGAGUAAAACAUUAAUUAUUUUAAAUUUCAUUACUGAACAAUAGUUUGUUGUACGAUACAUGAAUUAUUAUUAUUUAAUAUUAAAUUAAGCAUGGGAAAACUGAUCUGAAUCGCUAGCUCCGAUACGAGCAGUGCUCCGAAGUGACGUCAUGGCAGUCGGUAGGCGGAGCUACUCGAUGCGCAAUAGCACACCAUUAUAUUUACACCAUGGGUCAAAGUGUCAGGGACCGGAAAUAUGUAAAAAUAUCACCGCAGCGCCACUACCGGAAGGCGGAGAAGCAGACAAGCAGAUCCGUUAUAAUCACUGCCGGCUCAACCCACGUUGCUCAACCACGAUACUGCCUGCUCUUUUACCGACAGUUUUGAGUAAACGAUGGCAAGAUA